GCCUGCAGCUAGCUCUCUGCAACUGCUCUCUGCAGGGCUGCGCCCGGUCAGUACCUGGAUGGGAGACCAAAUGGGAAAGCUAGGUUGCUGCUUGAA
rnacentral:rRNA from 1 species